CAUGUUCAAGACGCAGCUGUGAUCAAUCUAUAUGGAGGUGGCUGCUGCCUAUGAUGAUGCUUCUGCAUGCAUUUUCUCCUUUGUGUGCCGACUUGGUAUAGCUGGUUGCUGGGAUUACUUGCUCGUGUUAUUGUCGUGGUAGGUACUCGUAUUUGUGUAGGGUAUAUACCAUCGACGGGUACCGCAGCUAUGGUUGGGUACUUGGGUCGGUGGAAGUGUCAAAUAAUCAGCUUGUCGUGUGAUCAAAUUUUUUUGUCGUAUAAGAAGAUCAUUCAUGUUUGUAGCAUAUCUGAGUUGCAUUCUCACAUUAGUGGUGAGUCUAACACACUGAAGGUCUCCGGCUCGAACCCGGUCGAAGCCAUAUUAUUAUUUUUCUCGACUGAUUUCAUGAGAUUUUCC
rnacentral:lncRNA from 1 species